CGCGUGACUGUAUCAGAUUUCUUCUCCUUUGUUUGUGACCUGGUUUUUAACUCUUCCUAAAACCCUUGCCUUUCCCUCUCCUCUCUCCCUCUGAAGCUCACACAGAUUCCAUCGCAAUCGGCGUCGCCGCAUCUGGUCGCUCCUAGUCGGCGAUCCAGUCUUCCACUAAUUGCACUUGAGCAUUUGGUUUGUGUGAGGAAGAGGCAAUGGGCAACGGUCCAGCUCCCUUUCAGAAAUUGGCAAACAUGGACUUUUGAAAGAUACAAAAUUUCGGAUAUUUUAUGCUUUAGCUGUUGCGUUAGAGUAAAACUGUUUGAUGCUUUAACUGUUGCGUUAAUCUUAGGAUAGUAUUGAGAUCUAUUUUGAGUCCAUGUGUAUUUAAUGCCAUUUUCUUGAAUGUUUAGUUGGGUAUGUGCUUUACGGCGAAAGGUCUCUCUCCUUUAUAUUUGUUGUGUGAUGAGUGGACCGAGUGAUUGAAUUCUGCAGUGGCUUAAGUAUAUGUUAGCGUUAACUAGUUGUAUGUUUUUGCUCCUGUAAAAUCCAGAAUAACAGGCGAUAUAAUGGAUUCUGAGCCAA